CAUACCUAUACGUUGCCUCGGCGGAUCAGCCCGCGCCCCGUAAAAAGGGACGGCCCGCCCGAGGACCCCUAAACUCUGUUUUUAGUGGAACUUCUGAGUAAAACAAACAAAUAAAUCAAAACUUUCAACAACGGAUCUCUUGGUUCUGGCAUCGAUGAAGAACGCAGCAAAAUGCGAUAAGUAAUGUGAAUUGCAGAAUUCAGUGAAUCAUCGAAUCUUUGAACGCACAUUGCGCCCGCCAGUAUUCUGGCGGGCAUGCCUGUUCGAGCGUCAUUUCAACCCUCAAGCUCAGCUUGGUGUUGGGACUCGCGGUAACCCGCGUUCCCCAAAUCGAUUGGCGGUCACGUCGAGCUUCCAUAGCGUAGUAAUCAUACACCUCGUUACUGGUAAUCGUCGCGGCCACGCCGUAAAACCCCAACUUCUGAAUGUUGACCUCGGAUCAGGUAGGA
rnacentral:rRNA from 1 species